UUCCCGAGCCCGUUCCACAGGAAGACGGCGAGUUAUACGCCUAAAGACUUUAUAGUUCUAUUUAUAGUUUUUAUUUCGAGUAUUUCUUUUGAUCAGCUUAUUCUUUCACAUGCUGAAUACAUUUUUGGUUAUUGUGUAAAGGAUGUUAAUCAUAAUUUUUAUUUCGCUUCCGCAUUUAAAAUUUUUAAUACAUACAUCUUCA
rnacentral:lncRNA from 1 species